CUCACUAUGUCAAUGUCACCACAACUCCCGAGACCCGCCCCGUGCUGGAAGCUUUUGAUUCUUAGUCUGAGGAGGAGAGAAACAGAACACUAGACUUCAGGACACAACUAUGGAAAUGAUGUCAGACAAAAAGCACAUUUGAGCAAUUUUCUUAUUUGAGCUCAAAAUGGGUCAAAAAGCAGCAGAGACAACUUGUGACAAUGCAUUUGGCCUACAAACUGCUAACGAACGUACAGUGCUGUGGUGGUUCAAGGAGUUCUGCAAAGGAGAUGAGAGCCUCGAAAAUGAGGAGCCUAGUGGCCAGCCAUUGGAAGUCAUCACCGACCAAUUGAGAGCAAUCAUGGAAACUCAUCCCCUUACAGCUACCCAAGAAGUUGCCAAAGAACUCAAUGUUGACCAUUUGAUGGUCAUUCAAUUUUUGAAGCAAAUUGCAAAGGUGAAAAACUUCGAUAAGUGGGUGCCUCA